GAUGAACGCUAGCUACAGGCUUAACACAUGCAAGUCGAGGGGCAGCACAAGGCAGCAAUGCUGAGGUGGCGACCGGCGCACGGGUGCGUAACGCGUAUCCAACCUUCCCGUUACUCUUGGAUAGCCUUCCGAAAGGGAGAUUAAUACAUGAUGGUGUUGAAAUUCCGCAUGUUAUUUCAACUAAAGAUUUAUCGGUAACGGAUGGGGAUGCGUGACAUUAGAUAGAUGGCGGGGUAACGGCCCACCAUGUCCACGAUGUCUAGGGGUUCUGAGAGGAAGGUCCCCCACACUGGAACUGAGACACGGUCCAG
rnacentral:rRNA from 1 species